GUAAGAAGAAAGCCCAAAGACAAAACCAGAGGCAACUGGCUGCUGCAUCGCCCACCUAGUGGCAGUAGUGUGAGCUAUGGACAAAAGAUCUAAGUCUCCAGGACAAAGAGUUGUGCAGCUGCUCAUUUUCCUGUUGACUUCUGUCUAAGACUUGGAGAUGUUUGUAAGAUUGGGACCUACCUACAGAGCUCCAGAGGGAAGUGAGAAGGAUGUUCACUUGCUGGUGAGAGAAGGAGCUGGUUCCAUCCAUUACGCAGUCCCCUGGGAGCGCUAAAUGCAACUUUAUCUCAACGGGGAGUGGACGAUGAGCAGGACGUCGCUAGAGGGAAAGAGCCUCACUUCCCGUUUCCUUUGGCAGCGCCCUUUUCCCGACCUAAGGGAGCAGACCUUCGUUGGUUGGCGUGAGGACUGGCGGGAGAGGUUUUGUGCCAGGAUCCGCACUGUCUGGGGUGAACGCUCCUCACCUUUGACCUGAACCGCCAACUUCCCAUCCUCCACUUUUGGAGAGCGCGCCUGAUAGCUGCUGCCCACCUGGGCACUGACAUCCUCCUUCCGACCGGGUGCGGAGAAAGCACAAAGGAAGUAGACCAAGGAGACUGAAGGUGGUUAUGAAGACUGUGCAUCUCUGAGGACAUCUUAAACAAAGAUGACCCAAAUCUUUGAUCUUCAAAUAGUCGAUGUGAACUGCUUAACAAAAUGCCCUGGGAAAACUCUGUCUGAAACAAGCAGCUUGGGGGUUUGAUUUCAUUAGUUACUGGACAAGAACUGGAAUGGAGUGAAAAAUCUUCAUUCAUUUCUUGGUCAGAUGGAGAGAGGAGAAAAAAAGAAGUGGGUUUCCAUUCACUUCCAUUUUCUAACUGAUCAUUAGUUAGAGAACCUUUGGAAAGGUUUAGCUCAGUUUUUUCUUCCAACUUAUCAGGUUCCUCAAGAAAUUCACUGCCUUGAGAUGACUUUGAUAACCCAUCCAAAUCCAGUGACUUAAAACCGUUAUUACAAGGGCUCUUGCUGUUGUCUGACUCUGACAUCAUUGAAUCCAACUCAGAGAUUUUGUCAAGGUAAGCAGCAUCCAUCGAUGCUUCACUGGAUGUUCUUGUCCGGUUCAUUUCAAAAGAGCGAAUAGAAUUCAACCUUUUGGAUAAACAUAAGCCUGAUUUCUCACUCAAUUUUGAAGAUAUUUCUCCAACAGAAUUUGCUAUCGUGUUCCCCUCUGAACUUUCAAAAUCUAAGUUUUGGGCAUAGCUUGUGGAACAACAGUCCCAAAAUCCUGUCUUUGGGGAAGAAAAACAUUCUGAUUUCUUUUCAUUUUCACUUCUACUUAUAUCAUCUUCUGAAGAAUCUUUAUUAGAAACAUUUGAAGAAUCACAAAAAUCAUCAAACACCAAUUUUCUGAGAUGGUUUGAGUGCUUUUUGGAACCUCCUGCUUGGACCACAGAGCUCUCUCUAUUUUCUGGAGUACUGAGCUGAAGGCAACUAAGGGACAAAGGAGUACAAGGAGCUGGAAGAUCAUAAAGUUCUUCAUCUUUGUAGGGUACACAGUCACUUGGUUUAUUCCCCCAUUCUCUUUCCAAAUAAGUAUCCAUACUUGUAUCUGUCACAUCUAACAUUACUUCUACCUGUUCUUGAUAUAGGUCUUUGUUCUUAGAACAGUUAAGGUCUGCUUUGCUGGUACUUUCCUGCCUUGCAGAACUGGUGUCACACAGUCUGCUGCUGGAAGGCUUCGCUAGGUGAGAAGAACUGGAGGUGGAUGAGCCAGGCUGCUUUCUGGCACUAUCGCCUUGAUUCUUUGACACCACAUCCUCCUCACUGCCUUUGCUCCCUUUGCCAUCUGCAGAAAGUGCUGUCUGGCAAAUGGAAUUCAUAGCUUCUUUCUCUUCACUUGAAUUUUUUAGCUGUGCAACUUGAGAUUCUAGUUCCUCUAUAUACUUAUCACUUCGUUCCAGGGCUUUCUUGAGGCGAUUGGUUUCACGCUCAUACUGUUCUACUUUGGACUGAAGAGCAGCAACUGCAAACCUUCCAAACCUACAAAGAAUGGAAAGAUAGUUAAUCUUAUAACUCAAGCUUUUUUCUUUUCAAGGUUUGAGAGUGCAAACUGUCCCAGGCUAUUCUAAUUUCACCUAACAGUGACAUUUCAGACCACUCAAUGAGUAGGGCAAAUGCCAGAUGUAUAUUUUCAAAAAAUGGUUUCCCCACUUACAUAAUAAUAAACAUAUGAUAAUAAUAGCAAA
ensembl:lncRNA OBI1-AS1 OBI1 antisense RNA 1